UCUUACUGAUGACCAAAGAAAGUAGUUUCUUGAGAUAGAAUCUACUCCUUGAGAAGAUGCUGAGAA
rnacentral:pre_miRNA from 1 species